rnacentral:rRNA from 1 species
GUGGGGAAUCUUAGACAAUGGGGGCAACCCUGAUCUAGCCAUGCCGCGUGAGUGAUGAAGGCCUUAGGGUUGUAAAGCUCUUUCAGUGGGGAAGAUAAUGACGGUACCCACAGAAGAAGCCCCGGCUAACUCCGUGCCAGCAGCCGCGGUAAUACGGAGGGGGCUAGCGUUGUUCGGAAUUACUGGGCGUAAAGCGCACGUAGGCGGAUCGGAAAGUUGGGGGUGAAAUCCCAGGGCUCAACCCUGGAACUGCCUUCAAAACUAUCGGUCUGGAGUCCGAGAGAGGUGAGUGGAAUUCCGAGUGUAGAGGUGAAAUUCGUAGAUAUUCGGAGGAACACCAGUGGCGAAGGCGGCUCACUGGCUCGGUACUGACGCUGAGGUGCGAAAGCGUGGGGAGCAAACAGGAUUAGAAACCCCUGUAGUCC